AGCCACGCGGUUCACACAAAGCGACCUAUUCUUUCGCCUUUUACUAAAGAAUAUUGUGUGUGCGCUGCAGAUAGUGGCAUACACCAAUUUUUGGAGGGCCUAAAUGUUUUUGGGCU